ensembl:snRNA U6 U6 spliceosomal RNA
GUGCUCGCUUCGGCAGCACAUAUACUAAAAUUGGAAUGAUACAGAGAAGAUUAGCAUGGCCCCUGCACAAGGAUGACACGUAAAAUAACUAAUCUUCAGGAUCAUGAU